GAGAGAGAGAGAAGAGGAGAAGAAGAGGAGAGACAAAGGGAGUGAGUGCAAGAGAGAGGAGAGACGACUUAGCAUCAGAAACUGCAAAGUGGCCUCUUUACCCAGUCCAUCUGCUACUCGGAUAAUGGGAUCUUCCUAAAGUAUGGGUCCAACCACGUCAGAAACCUGUUGGUGUGAAGGUGGCUGAAACAAGCACUGCGGAGCCCUUGGUCAUCCCCUGCCCCAGUAUUCCACAAACUCCAGUGGCUCCCAUUACCUCAAAUGUAAAAUGAUCAAAUAUAAAAGACUUGGUUUGGUUAUUUUCAGACAACUCAAACAAGAUGUUCCUCAUCUUGACCAGGCACAUUUACUAGCUGUCUUCCCAUGCCUGGAAUGCUCUUCCUGCUCAUCUCUGCCUCCUAGAUUCCUUCAAAUCUCACCUCUAAUCCUAUAUUCUACAAGCUGCCUAUCUUGAGUCCCAUUAAUCCUUCAAUUUUACAUAAACACACUCAUACAUACAUACAAACAUAUACUUUCCCCCAUAAUUGUUGGCAUGUUGUCUGCCUAACUAGACCAUGAGAUUCUUGAGAGCAGGGGAUGUCUUUUGCCUUUCUUUGUAUACUGUCUUAUGUGUUUAACACAGUGCUUGGCACAGAAAUGCUUAAACAUUGAUUUGAUCUACAUAGAUAUGUCUUGGUGGUUGAGAGUGGGGAGUUCUGUCUUUUUUGGAAAAAUUUAUAGGGAAGAAAAUUCCCCAACUUGCCUUAAUCAUAUAACACUAGGAGUCAGGAAUUUCUUCCUGGAGCUCAAGUAUCUCAUAUACCUAUACAACUUAUACCUAUUUUCUCUCCUUCUGAAUCAAAGGAAAAGAUUCCAGACACUAACCUGGGAGUGAGGGUCACUGCCCAUUCUGAUGGUCCCUCCUCACUCUCUGUCUCCUCCUCCACACACACAUUCCCUGCCUUUAGAUACAUCAUUUCCAGAGCAAUGGGAAGGUUGGAAAGGCUUUGAGAACAUUUCAUGGGCUUGUCCAUGUAACUUCAGUUACAUUUUGAUCAGCCUGGAAAUAUUGAAGCCUGUCUGCAAAGGCUAUUAGGGCCUGAAAGCAUGAGUAUGGAAUGGAUGACCUCGGAUACCAGAGAUAUUCUUUUCCUUUUACAAAACCAGAGAAGGUGAGGGGGCUUUUGACACUCUUAGCAAGCUAACUGGAGACAGAAGCUGGAGAGCUCUGGUGUAAUCAAUAUGUCUCCCCAUUCCUGUCCAAUCUUUUCUGGGUAAUGAGCAGUGAGUGGGAAUGUCACCUCUGUUAAUGGGGGAAGAUGCAACUGUGCACAGCUAGAAACGCCUCUCCGUCUUCAUUAAGCCAGCAACAGCCCGGACUGCUUUCCCUCCCACGCUGGGUAACAGAUGAUUCCGAUUGAAGAGUGAUCACCAUCCUACCUCUCUCUCCUCAGGCUUCAAUCCCAAGCAAUGACCCUACACCCACCAUCAAAAAACACUGCCUAGGAAAAUGCCCUUUGAGGGUAAAGUGCAGAAAUGACUGAUAAAAACACAGCGA